UUGCCGCCCGUGACUCGGCGAGAAGUCCAUUGAACCUUAUCAUUUAGAGGAAGGAGAAGUCGUAACAAGGUUUCCGUAGGUGAACCUGCGGAAGGAUCAUUG
rnacentral:rRNA from 1 species